UGAUCCUUACCCAGUCUCCGACCUUUACCCUUGGUUGCUCUGGAUCUCCCGUCAGCUCCCCCCCAUGGACUUUGUGUAUCUGUUUGGAAAGAGCUGCGGACAGUUCCGUCAAUUUUCUUACAUAGUCAGUCAUACCUAUCUGGUGUACAUCAAGAGGGGGCAUAUGACCUCCCUCUCUUGGUGGACCUGGCAUUACUCUUCCUGUCAUUAUUUAGUGGGGUGAGAGAUGAGUCCCUGCCCCAGGUGAUGACCUCAUGGCCAUCAACGCCAGUGGCAGGGCCUCCACCCAUGUCAGUUUUGUACCUGCACACACCUUGGCUAUCUUAGCCUUCAGAGACUAAUAUCGCUCCUUGGUUCCCCUCUAUGUUCUCUGUACACACUGGAUGUGCAGGAGGUGGGGGUUCCCCUCCCCUCUGACUUCAAGCUGCUCCCGUUGCCCCCUGCUCCAUCUAUGAAUGGAUUCCUCGUGUGGCCACUGGGGCGGAGCUGUUCUCGCAUAGAUCGAGGGGCAUGCAUGUCAGAUGGCCCUGGUGUGCACCUUUGUGCACCCCCUGGUGUGGAGUAACCCUAUGGGCCAGGCUUUAAUUCUUCACACUCCAGGUGGCCCCCUUUGAUCAACGUAUCCCCUUGGAGUACUCCUUCUUUUACAAGGAACACAGGGGCCUGUGUUGACGCGGGCCCGGCCCUUUUCCCCUUAUCAGUAUAAGGUGGAGGCAAAUUUGAUAGGACUGGGUAAAGGGGUCGGGUCGUUGAGGGCACAUGUGUUGGCGGGGCAGAGGGAAAUGGAUUUGGCGCCAUCUCCUGGUGGUGGUCCGUCUGCUCAUCUUCCCCUUGUGAGGGAGUGGCCACCCCCAUCAUUUCCGUUUUUUUAUUCAGUUGUGCUCUUAGCGCCUCUUCGAUGGCCCAAGUUCCUAUCUUCAGUUCCACUUCUGCCCUUUCUCUCUGUUUAGUCCCUUUUUCUUGAUGACUCCGCCUCCGUCCCAGUGACUAUCCCCAUGAUUUCCGGUUUAGUUUUCAGUUGUGCUCUGUGGAUCUCCUCAACAGCCCAAGUGCCUAUUUUGAAUUCAGCUUCUGCUCUUUCUCUGUCUUUGUCCCUUCCUUCUUAAAUACAUGCAGCUUGUUCUGUUCUAUCUCUUUGUCUUUAGCUUCCUGUAAUGCUUCACGCAACUCGCCUUCCAUUGUGCUAAGCUGGACCCUAUUUGGCGUUCCCCCUACUAAAUAACCUGCCUGUGUCCACUUCAACUUCAACCCUUCCCAAACCUUCUUUAUUGACUUCCACUGUUCCUUUCCUCCUGACCUAUCUUGCAUACGUUGGUCUAGAAAAUCAUUGAAUUUUAAUUUGGGAGGUUGCGGAGUCGCCAUUUUGAGUUUUUAGAAAUAUUUUGCACACUAUCUGAAUAUACUUAGCUCGUCACUAGCUCACACCAGUGAUGUAUUCUUAGGAGACACUAUUACUCGUACUCUGCCUUAACUCAGAGCUUCUCCGUCAUAUAUCCAGAAUUUACAUUAAUAAUGGUUCAAUGAUUGAUAAGUACUUUUAGAAUUUAGGAAAUAAUAGCAGGGUCUUGUGAAACUCUGUUUACAUUUAUUCUAUAGUCGAUACACGAAUAUUCUUACAUGCACAUAGCAUUAGAACAACAUAUUUUGCGACGUCACACAAUUGUACAUUUAUCACAUCAAUUCAGACCAAACACAAAGCGGACUUUUCAGUCCAACAUAUAUUAAUCUUUUGUAGACACCUCACCGGUCACAAGCCUGGCUAUUGGUUAAACCUCACCGGUCACAAGCCUGGCUAUUGGUUAUAUCUAUGCCUAAUUAGAGAUUCAAUAUAUAUUAACAUUUUGUAGACACCUCACCGGUCACAAGCCUGGCUAUUGGUUAAAUCUAUGCCCAAUUAUAGAUCACCUUACCGGACACAAGCCGGACCGGACACUAGCCGGACUAUCGGUAGCAACUCUAUAUUGACUAUUUUAUUCCUGACCGGUCUCAGCCGGACCGGACACAAGCCGGACUAUCGGAAUAUUCUAUAUUUAUUGUUAGUUAUCCCUGACCGGACACAAGCCGGACCCUCGGGUUAUUCUAGGUCUACUAUUACUUAUCCCUGACCGGACACAAGCCGGACCCUCGGGUUAUUCUAGGUCUACUAUUACUUAUCCCUGACCGGACACAAGCCGGACCCUCGGGUUAUUCUAGGUCUACUAUUACUUAUCCCUGACCGGACACAAGCCGGACCCUCGGGUUAUUCUAGGUCUACUAUUACUUAUCCCUGACCG
ensembl:lncRNA